AAUCCGUGUUGCGGGCACUUUCUCAGGAUCUCCUUGAACCUUUCACAUGUCUCGAAUAGAGACUCCAAUUUUAACUGAAUAGUGGAUGAGAUCUCAUUCCCAAGUUU